rnacentral:rRNA from 1 species
UACGUAGGGUGCGAGCGUUAAUCGGAAUUACUGGGCGUAAAGCGUGCGUAGGCGGUUUGCCGUGUCCUGUGUGAAAGCCCCGGGCUCAACCUGGGAAUUGCAUGGGAAACUGGGCAGGCUUGAGUGUGGCAGAGGAGGGUGGAAUUCCGCGUGUAGCAGUGAAAUGCGUAGAGAUGCGGAGGAACACCGAUGGCGAAGGCAGCCCCUCUGGGCCGGUACUGACGCUGAGGAGCGAAAGCGUGGGGAGCAAACAGG